GCACUCGUAGCUCAACUGGAUAGAGCAUCGGUCUUCGGAACCGACGGUUGCGGGUUCGACUCCCCCCGAGUGCG
rnacentral:tRNA from 2 species